rnacentral:rRNA from 1 species
UACGUAGGUGGCAAGCGUUGUUCGGAUUUACUGGGCGUAAAGAGCGCGCAGGCGGUCGUUCAAGUCGCGUGUGAAAGCCCCCGGCUCAACUGGGGAGGGUCACGCGAUACUGAUCGACUCGAAGGCAGGAGAGGGUAGUGGAAUUCCCGGUGUAGUGGUGAAAUGCGUAGAUAUCGGGAGGAACAUCCAUGGCGAAGGCAGCUACCUGGACCAACACUGACACUGAGGCACGAAAGCGUGGGGAGCAAACAGG